rnacentral:lncRNA from 1 species
GCCCCCGAGCCAGGAGGCGGCGGCGGCGGCGGGGCCCAGCGGCUCCCCCGGCCGAUCCGAGGACCGUUUCUUCGCACCCCCACCCCACCACCACCACCCCCAAAAUCCCCUUUUCUCACCCUAAAACCGUUUUGAGGGCAAAAAAGGGUUUUUUGGGGGCCGAGCAGCGCCAUUUUUUCACCGCCAACAACAAUUUUCCCUUCAGAUUUUCCCUUUCGCUUUUUUUCCCUUUUUCCUUUUUUCCCCAUUUUUCCUUUUCCCCCCAUUUCCCCAAUUUCCCCUUUUUCCCCCCAUUUUUCCCCUUUUUACCCCCAGUUUCCCUUUUUCCCCCCAUUUCCCCCUUUUUUUCGCCCGUUGCCC